rnacentral:rRNA from 1 species
GGGUUAAAUUAAUAAUAAUAUAAUUAAUAAAAAAAAUUUUAAUAUUAAAAAGAAAUGGGGGUUUAAGUAUUUUUAAUAGAAAAAAUAAAUAGUUUUAUAGUUAAUUAUUACUGUAAAGGAAAUUAUAAAUAAAAUGAAAAUUAAUUAAUUAAAAAGUAAAUUUUAUUUAUUGUAUCUUGUGUAUCAGAGUUUAUUAAAUAAUCAUAAUUUAUUUAAAUAAAUCUCGAAUUUAAAAGAGUUAAUUAAUUAAAAAAGUUAAUGUUGAAUAAUUAUUUUAAAUAAUUAAUUAGAAAUGAAAUGUUAAUCGUUUUUAAAUAUAUCUAGUUUUUUUAGAAAAAAAUUUAAUUUUAAAUUUAAAUAAUUUUAUAAUUCUUUAAUUAAUUAUAAAAAUUUAAAAUUUAAUAUUUUAGGGGAUAAGCUUUAAAUUAAAGUUUUAUAAUUAAUUGAUAGUUAAAAUUAAAAUUUUUAAAAUUUAUAUUGUUUAAAAAUUAUAGUUUAUUAUAAAAAAUUUUAAUAAAAAUAAAAUUUAAUAAAAAUUUAAAUUUUUAUAAAAAAAUAAUUUUUAAUAAAAUAAAAUUAGAAAUAAUGAUAAAAUUUAUAUGUAUAAUAAAUAAAUAAUAUAAAAUAAAAUUUAUAUAUAAGAUAAGUUAAAGGAAUUCGGCAAAUUUUUAUAUUCACUUGUUUAUCAAAAACAUGUCUUUUUGAUAAUAAUUUAAAGUCUAAUCUGCCCACUGAUAAUUAUAUUAAAGGGCUGCAGUAUAUUGACUGUACAAAGGUAGCAUAAUCAUUAGUCUUUUAAUUGAAGACUUGUAUGAAAGAUUUGAUGAAAUAUAAACUGUCUCUAAUUUAGAAAUUUAGAAAUUAAUUUUUUGGUUAAAAAGCUAAAAUAUAAUUAAAAGACGAGAAGACCCUAUAGAGUUUUAUGGUUAAUUUGUUUAAUUUUAAUUAUAUAAUUAAAAAAAUUUAAUAAAUUAAUUAUUAUGUUGGGGUGACAAAAAAAUUUAAUAAACUUUUUUAUUAAUUUACAUAAAUAAGUGAAUAAAUGAUCCAUUAUUAGUGAUUAAAAGAAAAAAUUACCUUAGGGAUAACAGCGUAAUAUUUUUUUUUAGUACAAAUAAGAAAAAAAGUUUGCGACCUCGAUGUUGGAUUAAGAUAAAAUUUAAAUGCAAAAGUUUAAAAUUUUGAUCUGUUCGAUCAUUAAAAUCUUACAUGAUCUGAGUUCAAACCGGUGUAAGCCAGGUUGGUUUCUAUCUUUAAUAACAUAAAAUAUUUUAGUACGAAAGGAUCAAAUAUUUAAAAUAAUUUUAAUUUGAAGAAUAUUAUUAAUUUUAU